rnacentral:tRNA from 1 species
GCCUGGGUAGUGUAGCGGUCUACCACGCGGGACUGUCACUCCUGUAACCCGGGUUCGAAUCCCGGCCCAGGCG